rnacentral:lncRNA from 1 species
CGGCUGAGAAACCUCCUCUGCCAGAUCCUGACCUGAGCCAGGAGGCGGCCAGGAAACUGGAUUUUGGGACUGGGAUUUCAGAGAGGAAGCUGGAGAGCUGCAGGGUGGUCAUCUGUCACUUUAUUUUGCCCGUCUUGUAGCAUGUGGGUCUUUCGCAGCAGGAAGUGUGUUUUACAACCAGAGCCCCCGCCCUCCUGCAGCGCAGGCGCAGCUGGCUGGGCUCCUGCUUCCCACUCUCCACCUCAUCCAUAUUUGUCCUCGUCCCUGCCAGUCUCGAAAAGGCACUCUGUCACGUGUACACAGGAAAGGGCCCUGACAAGAGGAUGGGACUGCAGUUGUGGCUGCCAGAGUCUUGCUUUGUCGCCCAGGUUGGAGUGCAGUGGCACGAUCUCGGCUCAGUGCAACCUCCGCCUCCUGAGUUCAAGUGAUUCUCCUGCCUCAGCCUCCCUAGUAGCUGGGAUUACAGGACAAGGAGAGGGACAAAUUCCUUCUUGGCAUCCUUAUGGCCCUGUGACCUGCUAAUGAAUGCUGACUCUGAGUUGCUACUAGAAUUUGGUUUCCUUGUGGCUUCCCAGGAAUUGUGAGCCAUGUUGGAUAAGGACCUGCAAGGGAAGAAUGAGGAAGCCUGGGACAGUGCAGGAGGGGAGAGCACUGGUGGUAGAGAGGAGUGAUGACAAGGGUCUCCGCCAAAAGGGAAAUGGAGGGGUUAAAGAAGCUGCUGGGGAGGGUUAAAAACAAUGUGUUCUCACUCGUAGGUGGGAAUUGAACAAUGAGAACACUUGGACACAGGAAGGGGAACAUCACACACUGGGGCCUGUCGUGGGGUGUGGGGAGGGAGGAGGGAUAGCAUUAGGAGAUAUACCUAAUGUAAAUGAUGAGUUAAUGGGUGCAGCACACCAACAUGGCACAUGUAUACCUAUGUAACAAACCUGCACAUUGUGUACAUGUACCCUAGAACUUAAAGUAUAAUUAAAAAACAAAACAAAACAAAACAAAAACAAUGAGGUGCUAUUGUUUUAGUGGUGAGUAUCCGGAGACCUGGGAGUUCUAUUUACCAGGUAUAACCUGGGCUCAAAAUUCCAGGCUGACUUCAGGCAUGUCCUCAUCUCAUAGAUGCCAGCACUAAGGCCCAGAGAGGGCCGAGCUCAUUCAGCCCACCCAUCUUCUCACCCCUGACUGCAUUUCCCGGGGGUCCUUCUGCAGCCAGGUGCUGCUGUGGUACUUUGGGAUCUAUUGGCUGAGCUCCCAGAGAAGGGUCAUGGAUUGGGCUAGUUUGGAACAAGUGAAGGGACUGAAGAUGGGCUCAGUAUGGGGCGAAGACCUUCAGGAAGGGUCUGCAGAGUGAGUAGGGGGGUUUUGACUAGGAAAAGUUCCAACCCUGCCGGGGCCGCUGUCAAGAGAAAAGCAUCUAUUACAGUUACAUUUUUAAGUUAAGUAGACUGAAGAAUAUUUCUUGUGUAUUAAAGACGUUCCUUUUUGGUUGAUUUGCAAUGGAAAAGCUUUUGUUUUCUUUUUUUUUUUGGAAACAGGGUCUCACUCUGCUCACUCUGUCUCCCAAGCUGGAGUGCAGUGGUACAGUCACGGCUCACUGCAGCCUCCACUUCCUGGACUCAAGUGAUCUUCUCACUUCAGCCUUCUGAGUAGCUGGGACUACAGCCCCCUCUGCAGCUCUUCAUGGGGGUCCACUCAAGUCAGAAGCCACAUUUGGGUGUGAUUCAGAGAGCUGUUUAUGCAAAACCAGCUUUGUCACCAUCAGGCAAGGCACCUGAAUUCCCACCGCAGAGAGUGUUGUGGCCGUGAGGACUUUUCUGUCACCAGCCAUUUCCAGGUAGACCCAGUGUAAUCACAAGCAUCCUUGUAAGUGGCAAAGAGGCAGAGGAGACAGCGCCAGAGAGGCAGCUGCAUGAGAAGGAUCAAGAUGUUGCUGACUUUGAAGUUGGAAGAAGAAGGCCAUGAGCCUCAGUAUGUGGGCGGCUUCUAGAAGCUGGAAGGGGCAAGGAGAUGGAUUUGACCCUUCAGCCUCCAGGGGCAGCUGUACCUGCCAUCACUGAUUGUAGCCUGGUGAGGCCUGUUUUAGACUUCUGACCUGUAGAGCUGUAACAUAAUACAUUUGGGUUGUUUUCAACCACUAAGUUUGUGGUAAUUUGUUGUAGCAGCUGUAGAAAAUGAAUACAUAUGAAUCCUCUGGCAUUUGUUUGAGAUUUGCUCUAUGGCCUAGUAUGUGGUUGUAAAUGUUCCAUCUGUGCCUGAAAAAAUGUAUAUUUCUAAUUCAGUAGUCUCUGCUUUUUUUUUUUAUUUUGUACCCCAUCAAUAAAAUGAUUUUCAGCAUGUAUCCCCAAAUAAACAAUAUUUUAUUUAUUGAUUGAUUGAUAAACAGACAUGUUUAAUGAUAGCUUGCUUUUCACAGAGGUGACUUCGGAGACUUCUAAUCUAUAAUCCAGGAGUAUAUAACCAUGCAGCACAGACCAAUUAGUCACAUGUAAAAUAAACUAGAUUCUUACCAC